rnacentral:rRNA from 1 species
CAAGUCGGACGGGAUAGAGGAGCUUGCUCCUCUUGAGAGUGGCGCACGGGUGCGUAACACGUAUGUAACCUACCUUAGUCAGGGGGAUAGCCUCUCNAAAGAGAGAUUAAGACCGCAUAACAUCACGAAGUGGCAUCGCUUUGUGAUCAAAUAUUUAUAGGACUAAGAUGGGCAUGCGCAACAUUAGCUAGUUGGUGUGGUAACGGCAUACCAAGGCUACGAUGUUUAGGGGAUCUGAGAGGAUGACCCCCCACACUGGUACUGAGACACGGACCAGACUCCUACGGGAGGCAGCAGUAAGGAAUAUUGGUCAAUGGACGGAAGUCUGAACCAGCCAUGCCGCGUGCAGGAAGACGGCCCUACGGGUUGUAAACUGCUUUUGCAGGGGAAUAAACCUUCGUAUGUAUACGAAGCUGAAUGUACACUGAGAAUAAGGAUCGGCUAACUCCGUGCCAGCAGCCGCGGUAAUACGGAGGAUCCAAGCGUUAUCCGGAUUUAUUGGGUUUAAAGGGUGCGUAGGCGGCUUCUUAAGUCAGGGGUGAAAGACGGUAGCUUAACUAUCGCAGUGCCCUUGAUACUGAAGAGCUUGAAUGUAGUUGAGGUAGGCGGAAUGUGACAAGUAGCGGUGAAAUGCAUAGAUAUGUCACAGAACACCAAUUGCGAAGGCAGCUUACUAAGCUAUGAUUGACGCUGAGGCACGAAAGCGUGGGGAUCAAACAGGAUUAGAUACCCUGGUAGUCCACGCCCUAAACGAUGAACACUCGAUGUUGGCGAUAUACAGUCAGCGUCUAAGCGAAAGCGUUAAGUGUUCCACCUGGGGAGUACGCCCGCAAGGGUGAAACUCAAAGGAAUUGACGGGGGCCCGCACAAGCGGAGGA